rnacentral:rRNA from 1 species
GAUGAACGCUGGCGGCGUGCCUAAUACAUGCAAGUCGAGCGAACAGACGAGGAGCUUGCUCCUCUGACGUUAGCGGCGGACGGGUGAGUAACACGUGGAUAACCUACCUAUAAGACUGGGAUAACUUCGGGAAACCGGAGAUAAUACCGGAGCAUAUAUUGAACGGCAUGGUUCAAUAGUGAAAGACGGUUUUGCUGUCACUAUUAGAUGGAUCCGCGCCGCAUUAGCUAGUUGGUAAGGUAACGGCUUACCAAGGCAACGAUGCGUAGCCGACCUGAGAGGGUGAUCGGCCACACUGGAACUGAGACACGGUCCAGACUCCUACGGGAGGCAGCAGUAGGGAAUCUUCCGCAAUGGGCGAAAGCCUGACGGAGCAACGCCGCGUGAGUGAUGAAGGUCUUCGGAUCGUAAAGCUCUGUUAUUAGGGAAGAACAAAUGUGUAAGUAACUAUGCACGUCUUGACGGUACCUAAUCAGAAAGCCACGGCUAACUACGUG